GAGCGGAAGCAAGUAGCUCUUUUUGAAUCUAACACUGGUGGAAUUACCAGACAUGCCUAGCAAGUGUUCACAUUAUUACCUUCGGUCCUAAGAAUUCACUUACGUGUCAUUUGCUACUCUUCUUCCCAAUUUUUUGGUUUAUGUGCCUUCUUGGCCAUAUGCCGUUUGAGUGAGAUAGUCGUACGUGUCUUCCGCUACAUAUUGCAAUCAAGCCGGGUGCAAUCAUAUGUCCCUCCUAGAAUUUUCUUCUGUUUAGUGGAUCAAAUUUUGCAAUCAAACGAUUCUCUUUCAGCCGAAGACAAACGCAUAUAUGUAUAUACUCGUUGUUCUAUUUCACUUCCCAUCUUGGUUUAGCUUUGUUGUUUCUAGGUACACAGAUUAUAGCCCAAACUCCACAACCUGGUCAAGUGGUUACUGGAUUGGACCGUGCAAUCAUUACCAUGAAGAAGAAGGAGAUGGUAGUAUUCAUGCUACCCCCUGAUUUGGGUUAUGGAGUCACAGGCAGAAAUGGUGUCCCUCCUAAUUGUGUUAUUUAGUUUGAAGUGGAUCUUAUCUCAUGGAUUACAGUAGUAGAUGUUUGCAAGAAUGAUGGAAUUAUCAAGAAAGUGAUGGAGAAGAAAGAAGAAAUUGGCCCACUCCCAUCUCAGUUCUUACCCAGGGUUUGUUUUCUCUUUUCAAUAUUUUUCCUUAAAAUUGUUUUGAUGCUAAUAGAAUGAUGAUUUUUUCAUGUGUCUUAUGAUUGAUUGAUUUAUGAUAUUUGUAUAAAGCGAGAUCAGAAACCUUAAUAGUCUUUGGCACCCUUGGGAGAGGGAAAAGUUGUGUAUUUUACAUUGACUGAUCUUUGGAAUUCUUUUGAUGAAUGGAGUGCUUACGAUGCUGGAGUUCAGAUCAGAGUGGACAAUGGAGAAACUCUAAUUCAUUACUAUGUGCCUUACCUCUUUGCAAUCAAAAUGUUUAUGAGAAACUCGUCGAAUAGUUUAAGGUAUCAAUUUCAUUCUUGACAUUUGUAUAUAAACAUUUAUAAUUAGCUAGAGCUCGUGCACUGGGUUGCUUUGUUUUUUAUUUAUAAUUUAAUAAUGUGAUACAGUUUGGAACAAAGAUUAUUUGUUGUGAUUACAAAGUUGCUUAAACAAUUAAUUGUGAACUUUUAUUCUACUUUUGCCAUCAUCUCAUAUUCUUUAUAGUUGGUUUUCAGGUUGGUACAAUUUUGUAAUGUAAUUGAUUGGAACCCUCAUACGAGUUAGCCAAAGUUUUCCCAUUUUGGUGAUUUCUUUCUUGCUUUUUGGUAUUAAUUGUAAUUCUAUGUUCUUAAAUUGGUUUGGCAAUUGAAAUUCUUCAAUCCCAUGAUUGAUUGUUUGGUGUUUAUUGACAUUGGUACUUAAAAAGGCAUGUAUCAUAUAGUUUUCUUUGGGGUAUUCACUUCUAAGUCUUGAUUUUGAGUGGCUAUACUGAAUGAAUUCACGGGGAAUGUUUUUAGCGAGAAACUAUCAAGAUAGGAUCAAUGUUCCUCAAAGGAUGGAGGGUUUGAGCAAGAGAGCCUUUGGCAUCUGAAUGAGAGACUGGGUUACCUUUAUUUUCAGUAUUUUUAGUUUAUUUUGCUAUACAAAGCAAUUAACAUAUUUAGGUUCUUCACAUUCAUAACAGUUGCUCUAUUUUUACGAAUAGUUCCAUUUCAAAAUUCUGAUUAAUGAAAGAAUUGGAAACUCUAUGAUGAAACAAAGAUUGGGCUGGGAUUGAUAGCAUUUGGCAUACUGUUCUCAUUCUUAGGAACUAUUUUAUUUUUUGACAAGGGACUACUUGCCAUGGGAAAUGGUGACGAUGACCAUGCGACCGAAGUCCUUGAUGCAAUUCUUCACGAAAUGUAGCAAUUUCAAGGUUGGUUUGUUCUGUGUCUCCAUUCAGUGUGUAAACUCAUCUCCCGUUUUUAUUUGCCUUGUGAUGAUUGUACAAGGAACUAUUUCUUUCAGUGUGGGCUUUUUCUUGGUUGUUAUAGGAUGGAUUAUGUUGGGAAUGAUUUUGGAGGCAUAUGGGUUCAUCGUUCUUUUUAGGUUCAUUGGAUUUUCCUCCAAUGAUUUCAUGUCCUCUGCUCAUAUUACUUAAUAUUAGUAGCUAAUAAGGUAUUUUGUGUAGUAGAUUUUGGCCAACACUGUCAGUUUUUGUGUAGAAGAUACCUAUUAUUGAGUGGGUGUUCCAACAACCAUUUGUUAGAUCGGUACGUUUAUCUUGCAAUUUAAUAUAAUAUUUUUUUUAGAGAGAAUUCUCAUGGAUUUCUGCUG